rnacentral:rRNA from 2 species
CGCCUGGGGAGUACGGCCGCAAGGUUAAAACUCAAAUGAAUUGACGGGGGCCCGCACAAGCGGUGGAGCAUGUGGUUUAAUUCGAUGCAACGCGAAGAACCUUACCUGGUCUUGACAUCCACAGAACUUUCCAGAGAUGGAUUGGUGCCUUCGGGAACUGUGAGACAGGUGCUGCAUGGCUGUCGUCAGCUCGUGUUGUGAAAUGUUGGGUUAAGUCCCGCAACGAGCGCAACCCUUAUCCUUUGUUGCCAGCGAUUAGGUCGGGAACUCAAAGGAGACUGCCAGUGAUAAACUGGAGGAAGGUGGGGAUGACGUCAAGUCAUCAUGGCCCUUACGACCAGGGCUACACACGUGCUACAAUGGCGCAUACAAAGAGAAGCGACCUCGCGAGAGCAAGCGGACCUCAUAAAGUGCGUCGUAGUCCGGAUUGGAGUCUGCAACUCGACUCCAUGAAGUCGGAAUCGCUAGUAAUCGUGGAUCAGAAUGCCACGGUGAAUACGUUCCCGGGCCUUGUACACACCGCCCGUCACACCAUGGGAGUGGGUUGCAAAAGAAGUAGGUAGCUUAACCUUCGGGAGGGCGCUUACCACUUUGUGAUUCAUGACUGGGGUGAAGUCGUAACAAGGUAACCGUAGGGGAACCUGCGGUUGGA